rnacentral:lncRNA from 1 species
CCACGCAGGAUUACCAUUGCGCCCCCGUGCGGCGGGAGGGUGAACUGCAGCUUGGGACUCCAAGUAGCGUGGUUGAAAACAUGGCUAAGAUCUCAAAGUCAAAGCCAGGUUCUGAAUUUAGGACCAAAUGGAAGGGCCCAGAAGGUGAGGAAGAGACAGGCAUAAGGUGUUCACUAAAUGUUGAAUAACAAUGCUAGCCUCCAUCCAUCCCCAACGUCAUCCUCCAAGCACCCUGCCAUCCUCUUUCUAGAUAGUGAAGCAAAUUGGCAAAACAUAAGGGACUGAAGCCACGAGCAGGAUGAGCUGACUACCCACUCCAACAGUCCCUGUACCGCUCUGCCCUCUUUUGAACGGGCUCCUACCUGUGCCCAGUAAUCUGGUGACAGGGCUGAAAAAAGAACUCUAC